UCCGUAGGUGAACCUGCGGAGGGAUCAUUACAAGUGACCCCGGUUUACCACCGGGAUGUUCAUAACCCUUUGUUGUCCGACUCUGUUGCCUCCGGGGCGACCCUGCCUUCGGGCGGGGGCUCCGGGUGGACACUUCAAACUCUUGCGUAACUUUGCAGUCUGAGUAAACUUAAUUAAUAAAUUAAAACUUUUAACAACGGAUCUCUUGGUUCUGGCAUCGAUGAAGAACGCAGCGAAAUGCGAUAAGUAAUGUGAAUCGCAGAAUUCAGUGAAUCAUCGAAUCUUUGAACGCGCAUUGCGCCCCCUGGUAUUCCGGGGGGCAUGCCUGUUCGAGCGUCAUUUCACCACUCAAGCCUCGCUUGGUAUUGGGCAACGCGGUCCGCCGCGUGCCUCAAAUCGACCGGCUGGGUCUUCUGUCCCCUAAGCGUUGUGGAAACUAUUCGCUAAAGGGUGCUCGGGAGGCUACGCCGUAAAACAACCCCAUUUCUAAGGUUGACCUCGGAUCAGGUAGGGAUACCCGCUGAACUUAAGCAUAUCAAUAAGCGGAGGAU
rnacentral:rRNA from 1 species